rnacentral:rRNA from 1 species
UGGGGAAUAUUGGACAAUGGGCGAAAGCCUGAUCCAGCCAUGCCGCGUGUGUGAAGAAGGUCUUCGGAUUGUAAAGCACUUUAAGUUGGGAGGAAGGGCAGUAAGCGAAUACCUUGCUGCUUUGACGUUACCGACAGAAUAAGCACCGGCUAACUCUGUGCCAGCAGCCGCGGUAAUACAGAGGGUGCAAGCGUUAAUCGGAAUUACUGGGCGUAAAGCGCGCGUAGGUGGUUCGUUAAGUUGAAUGUGAAAGCCCCGGGCUCAACCUGGGAACUGCAUCCGAAACUGGCGAGCUAGAGUAGGGCAGAGGGUGGUGGAAUUGCCUGUGUAGCGGUGAAAUGCGUAGAUAUAGGAAGGAACACCAGUGGCGAAGGCGACCACCUGGGCUCAUACUGACACUGAGGUGCGAAAGCGUGGGGAGCAAACAGG